UGGAGUAGAAGUGUAAAGCCGGAAGUCGAACCGCUGACUGACGGCUCCGGACGUGUCCAGCAUUUUUCAAACCGGGUACGUUCAGCUGAACGUGAUCACGUGGGCAACAUUAAACGCGCGCAAACACAGGUCCUGAUGGGAAAUCUUGCUAUCUACACAAAGUCUGCAUCCAGCCGAAGUCUUGCUAUCUAUACAGCUUCUGCACCCAGCCGAGAAACACCGUGACGAGAAGAACUGCCUGCAAAUCUUGCACCAGCACUGCUAAGAAAGUGGAGUUGAACCAAGAUUGAGGAGGUGACAAUGGAUGGGAUGGCAGUGUAAGCUCUGCACAUUUGUAGAUUCAUCAAAAGGAGGACUUCUCAAGCACUAUCCAGUGACCCACGGUGGUUGCUGAUGCUCCUGAUGGUUUAGAAAAGGAGUUGGCAGAGGAGGUCAUGAAGAUUUACAUGCUGCAGAACCAGGGACAAUCAGAUGAUGCACCUACUGAUGUAGGGAUUGUAAUUGAGGGCGUCAUUGUCCUCCGCAGUCUUGGGGAUCUUAGCAGAGCCUGCUGCUAUCUGUUGGGACUAACCUAUGCCUUGGAUCUGAGAUACCCCCAGAAUCUCAGAUACAUUUUUGAGGUAUUCCAAAAAGUGCUACUGAAGCUGGAUCCUGGAAACCUUUCAACCAAGGUUCAAAGACUGAAAAAUUACCUGUGUACUUAGUUGUCAACUACUGUUCAAUGAGAUGCUCUCACUAAUCUGGAUUUUGUCCAAUUUCAAGGUGUGCAUGUCUUAAAAUUUUAGUGACAUAUUGUCUUAAUCCCAAAGUAACAUGUAACAAAGUGUAGUGAGGGCAAACAGUAAAAACUCAUUCCAAAUUAUAGGCUGUCUUGCUUAUUGUAAGCAUCAACAUUUUUCAAACUGUCAGUUGUUUCCUGAUGGACAGGAGAAACCAGGUGCCAGUUAGUUUUUGGUCCCUUGAUUUUGUUUUAUGAUCUUACAUUUGCCAUUUUGUUUAAUAACUUCUUGAUUUGAGAAAGGGUGGGAAGGACAGGACAUUGAUUUACUCAGUACUUGGCAAAACGAUGUUUUUCACUCAAAGUGAUUCGUUCCAAAAUUGCAUCAGAAUGUAGAAAUGUACUCUUUGGCGUUUUAACAUAAUGGUAUAGGCCUGCCCAGUUACUGUCAAGGGGCUGAUUAGCAAUAAAGCUAGUUAUUGCUGAUGUUAGGUGUCACUGUUCUUAGUGUAUUUCAGCCAUGUGCAGAGCUCAGUUCAGCCUGUUGCUCUUGAACAGAAGCAUUUUUUUUACCUGCACUUUGGCAACAGUGAGUGUUUUAUCCAUGUUUUAGAUGCCGCUGGCUAGUAUUAGUUUUCAGUGCAUUGUUUUCAUACUGUGGAUAUUGUUACAUAUGUGAUUUGUAAAGUAAACCAGGUUGACUAUGGACACCAUUUCGUGUGAUACACUAGUCAGUUCUGAACAAAUAAAGAUUUACAGUGUUUGCACUGUUAA